rnacentral:rRNA from 1 species
UGGCGGCAGGCCUAACACAUGCAAGUCGAACGGUAACAGGAAGCAGCUUGCUGCUUUGCUGACGAGUGGCGGACGGGUGAGUAAUGUCUGGGAAACUGCCUGAUGGAGGGGGAUAACUACUGGAAACGGUAGCUAAUACCGCAUAAUGUCGCAAGACCAAAGAGGGGGACCUUCGGGCCUCUUGCCAUCGGAUGUGCCCAGAUGGGAUUAGCUAGUAGGUGGGGUAACGGCUCACCUAGGCGACGAUCCCUAGCUGGUCUGAGAGGAUGACCAGCCACACUGGAACUGAGACACGGUCCAGACUCCUACGGGAGGCAGCAGUGGGGAAUAUUGCACAAUGGGCGCAAGCCUGAUGCAGCCAUGCCGCGUGUAUGAAGAAGGCCUUCGGGUUGUAAAGUACUUUCAGCGGGGAGGAAGGUGUUGAGGUUAAUAACCUCAGCAAUUGACGUUACCCGCAGAAGAAGCACCGGCUAACUCCGUGCCAGCAGCCGCGGUAAUACGGAGGGUGCAAGCGUUAAUCGGAAUUACUGGGCGUAAAGCGCACGCAGGCGGUCUGUCAAGUCGGAUGUGAAAUCCCCGGGCUCAACCUGGGAACUGCAUUCGAAACUGGCAGGCUAGAGUCUUGUAGAGGGGGGUAGAAUUCCAGGUGUAGCGGUGAAAUGCGUAGAGAUCUGGAGGAAUACCGGUGGCGAAGGCGGCCCCCUGGACAAAGACUGACGCUCAGGUGCGAAAGCGUGGGGAGCAAACAGGAUUAGAUACCCUGGUAGUCCACGCCGUAAACGAUGUCGACUUGGAGGUUGUGCCCUUGAGGCGUGGCUUCCGGAGCUAACGCGUUAAGUCGACCGCCUGGGGAGUACGGCCGCAAGGUUAAAACUCAAAUGAAUUGACGGGGGCCCGCACAAGCGGUGGAGCAUGUGGUUUAAUUCGAUGCAACGCGAAGAACCUUACCUACUCUUGACAUCCAGAGAACUUUCCAGAGAUGGAUUGGUGCCUUCGGGAACUCUGAGACAGGUGCUGCAUGGCUGUCGUCAGCUCGUGUUGUGAAAUGUUGGGUUAAGUCCCGCAACGAGCGCAACCCUUAUCCUUUGUUGCCAGCGGUUAGGCCGGGAACUCAAAGGAGACUGCCAGUGAUAAACUGGAGGAA